CAGACACUGUUUAAACGCAGCAUCUUCUUGUCAUUUUGCACCCUUGAAUUCCUCAGCAGAAUUACGACUAUUCCAAACUAAUGACAAACUAGCGAGUAGGCUUUAGGCUACAUUCUUGCUGGAAAAAUCCAUACUCAUUGGCCAAAAACAACCCAACUACAGUCAACCUGCUUUUCUGGAACAUGAUAGCUGGUCAACCAGCUAAUAACAACAACCUAAUUACGAGCAUAAACCAGCUAGAAACCAUCUACCAUUUUCAAAAACAUCGCUAGCAUCAUAAUCUGGAGUUUCCAACAGCAUGAGAGCGGAAAAACAGGGGAAAGAUACAGCAUGCCUAUCUAAUCUGAAUCUAAAGAGAAAAACUUCACUACUUCCAUUGCCAAGCGGCAAUCCUCAUUUCGUGACUUUGGAAAGCUGGUAGAGAAUAAUUCGUUUAUUGGAAGAACACAAGCAGUACUGAAUAGAAAAUUUUAUGGCAGCCGAGUGAAGACAUACUAGCCUUGAAAACAUACCUGAGAUGAAUGAGGUCACCAGCAAAUACUAUGACAUGUGACAGGUAAGUCAUAUCUGAAUUAGACCACCUGAACAGCCCCCGAACAUGAAGGAAGAACAUCUGAGGGCAUGCUCUUGCCACUGUAAUUCACACUGCCUGUAGGGUGCAGGGGUAUCUGUGAAGUUCAACUUUGUGAUGGAUGAGAUGGUGUUUUUGCCCCUUGGCCUCUGAGGGAUUAGGCUGCUCAGGUGUUGUUUUUAAAAGACUUAGAAUUAGCUUACAUUUAAACAUUUAAACUGUCUUUUGACACCACUUUCACCACCUGUUUUCUGGAGAGAAAAAGGUCUGGGCCCCCUGGAUUGAACCUUGAGUUUACAUUUAAUGUUUCAUGUCAACAAAUGAAUUCACGCAGCAAUCAUAAGUCAUAUCUGAAAUGUACAUUUGUAACUGUUGUAAUUGUGUGACUCUUUGGCAGGGCUUUGAUUAUUAAUUACUGUAGAUAUA